CCGGGCUUCGGCAGCGGCCGCAGACACGCCCCUUUGCCCGGCAGGUACCGGGCACGGAACGGGAAUGCGAUUGAAUCUCACCCGCAAAACAGCAAGAGUCUGGAAGUGUUCUAGGAGGAAUCGAGGUUUCAGACUGAACCCAUCUAUUCCCUUAGAGCGUGUGGUUUGGGGCACUGAGUACUUCUGAAGUCUCGGCUUCAUGUGUCAGGAGUCUCCUUUCUCCUUGGGGAAAUGGCUGGUGCUGCAGGACAGUAAUAAGUAUAUACAGACAGAACAACCCAGAGU